rnacentral:rRNA from 1 species
AACGAACGCUGGCGGCAUGGAUUAGGCAUGCAAGUCGAACGAGGUAGCAAUACCGAGUGGCGGAAGGGUGAGGAACGCGUGAGUAAUCUGCCCCCAAGUUGGGAAUAACAGUUGGAAACGACUGCUAAUACCGAAUGUGGCUAUUGGAUCGCAUGAUCUUUUGGCUAAAGAUUUAUCGCUUGGGGAUGAGCUCGCGUCCCAUUAGUUAGUUGGUGAGGUAACGGCUCACCAAGACGAUGAUGGGUAGCUGGUCUGAGAGGAUGGUCAGCCACACUGGGACUGAGACACUGCCCAGACUCCUACGGGAGGCUGCAGUGGGGAAUAUUGGGCAAUGGGCGAAAGCCUGACCCAGCAACGCCGCGUGAAGGAAGAAGGCCCUCGGGUUGUAAACUUCCUUUACCAGGGGACGAAGAAAGUGACGGUACCGUGGAAGAAAAGCACGGACUAACUACGUG